GGGUCAGUAGGUUGGUCGUGCCACCGGUACGUACUGGUCUCGCUGAUUCCUCCUUCCUGAAGAACCGUAAUGCCAUUAAUUUGGUGUUGCGGGGAAACAGGACUGUUACUUUGAAAAAAUUAGAGUGUUUAAAGCAAGCUAACGCUUGAAUACAUUAGCAUGGAAUAAUGAAAUAGGACGAUCGAUCAUAUUUUGUUGGUUUCUAGGAUUGACGUA
rnacentral:rRNA from 1 species